CCUACGGGUGGCAGCAGCAGGGAAUCUUGGGCAAUGGGCGAAAGCCUGACCCAGCGACGUCGCGUGGGGGACGAAGGCCUUAGGGUUGUAAACCCCUUUUCCGAGGGAAGAUACGGGACGGUACCUCGGGAAUAAGCCCCGGCUAACUACGUGCCAGCAGCCGCGGUAAUACGUAGGGGGCAAGCGUUACCCGGAAUCACUGGGCGUAAAGUGCGCGUAGGCGGUUGGAUAAGUCUCUUGUGAAAGCUCCCGGCUCAACUGGGAGAGGUCAAGGGAUACUAUUCGACUUGAGGACAGCAGAGGUAAGCAGAAUUCCCGGUGUAGCGGUGGAAUGCGUAGAUAUCGGGAGGAACACCAGUGGCGAAAGCGGCUUACUGGGCUGUAUCUGACGCUGAGGCGCGAGAGCGUGGGGAGCAAACUGGAUUAGAUACCCAGG
rnacentral:rRNA from 1 species